UGUGGAAGCUGGGAUUCCAAUGGCAGGCAGGAAAUCUUGUAGUAGGUGAUCGUGGCCUUCCUUGGGAUCCCUGUUUCCCCCUUUUAUUCCCUUUUCACCCAGUAAAACCCUGCUUUGCUCACUCUUUAAAGCAUCUGUGAGCGUAAAUUUUUGUGGCCAUGGGAUGGACAAGAACCACAUGUUUACCUGAAGUCCUGUGACAUUUUGGUGUGCAGCAUGGGAGCUCCAAAAGUGGAUAAAGAAUGUUGCCAUUGAGAGGGCUCUAAUGGUGGAAUUACCUUCAACUAACAUUUACUGAGAGGAGGAGAGGCAACUGAGACAAGAAGUCAAGAGAUUUAAAGUCAGCAGUUCUCAAGGAAAAUGCUACCCUGGAAAGAAAAUAUAACCUUAAAGUCUGGCAACUGCUCUGGACUUUUUCCUGAGAUUUUCUUUCAAGGUAAGCCCAGUCUGUCUUAAUGCACAGUAACCUAUGCCUGGUGAUUUAAAGCUCUAAAAUUGACCUUUUAGCUUCCCAUUUCCAAAUUGUAAUGUAAUCUAUUUGAUACAAAAAAAUUAAGUUUUGAAUAAUUAAGUGGCCCAUUUACGAUACAAUAAAGUAUGGAUUGUCUUGUUGUUUUAUAUAUUUGUUUGUUUACUUGGAAAAAGUAAAGAAAACCAAAGAUAACACAUUAUUUCCUUGUAAAAAUAAUUUAAUUGGAAAAAGGCUAAUAGUUUUGCCAAAUUUGGGGUUGGAGAACUCAAUGUUUAAUCUAAUAUGCAGUAAAUUAGAAGAAUGGGAGCUAUAUCUUUUUUUUUUUUUUAUUUUAGGUUUAGUGCUCUACUGGUUUUAAGAAAUGAAUCAUUGAAUUUGUUUUAUGAAAAUUAUUACUUAAAAGUUUGAAAAU
rnacentral:lncRNA from 1 species